rnacentral:rRNA from 1 species
ACGGGAGGCAGCAGUGAGGAAUAUUGGUCAAUGGACGGAAGUCUGAACCAGCCAUGCCGCGUGAAGGAAUAAGGCCCUAUGGGUCGUAAACUUCUUUUGUGGUGGAGCAAUAAGGUGCACGUGUGCAUCGAUGAGAGUACAUCACGAAUAAGCAUCGGCUAACUCCGUGCCAGCAGCCGCGGUAAUACGGAGGAUGCAAGCGUUAUCCGGAUUUAUUGGGUUUAAAGGGUGCGUAGGCGGCUUGUCAAGUCAGUGGUGAAAGCCCCCUGCUCAACAGGGGAACUGCCAUUGAUACUGUCAGGCUUGAAUUCGGAUGCCGUGGGAGGAAUGAGUAGUGUAGCGGUGAAAUGCAUAGAUAUUACUCAGAACACCGAUUGCGAAGGCAUCUCACGAAUCCGACAUUGACGCUGAGGCACGAAAGCGUGGGGAUCAAACAGGAUUAGAUACCCUGGUA